rnacentral:rRNA from 1 species
GACGGAGGAUCCGAGCGUUAUCCGGAAUCAUUGGGUUUAAAGGGUCCGCAGGCGGGUUAAUAAGUCAGUGGUGAAAUCUCUCAGCUUAACUGGGAAACUGCCAUUGAUACUGUUAGUCUUGAAUUCGGUCGAAGUAGGCGGAAUGUGUCAUGUAGCGGUGAAAUGCAUAGAUAUGACACAGAACACCGAUAGCGAAGGCAGCUUACUAGGCCUGAAUUGACGCUCAUGGACGAAAGCGUGGGGAGCAAACAGG